rnacentral:pre_miRNA from 1 species
CAAAUACUACCUCCGUCCGGAAAUAUUUGUCAUCAAAAUGGAUAAAAGGAAAUGUAUCUAGACGUAUUUUAGUUUUAGAUACAUCUCUUUUUAUCCAUUUUGAUGACAAGUAUUUUCGGACGGAGGGACUAUUUA